UUGCUGCUGGAGCUCCCGGUGGGGCUCAGCCACGUGUUUUUUCCGGAGCCUCUUUUGCCUUCCCGUGCUCACCUACCUCUCCUCUGCUUUCUUGUCAGCAGAGAUGGGGGCAGCAGCGGUAAGUUUGGGGCUCCUUUUUCUUUCUUUCUUUUUCUUCUUCUUUCCCCCUUUUCUUUUCUCCCUCUCUGCGUUAGCUCCACUGUCCUCCUGGUUUUGGAGCUCCUCUCGGCUGUUGGGGGGGGGUGGUCGGGUGUCUUUCCGGCUCAAUCUCUGUGGGGGGGGGUGUUUUGGCUCCUUUGAUAGGCUCCCCGGGCACCCCCGAUUCCUCUCCGCUGGCGGUGCUGGCGGCAGCAGUCCUGGGAGCCCAGGAGUCGGCCAGACAGAGCCUUUUACUCUGGCUGGCUUCAGGAGCUCUUUUCUGCUGUUGCAGCCGCCAUGCUGCCUCGCCGGAAGUC